rnacentral:tRNA from 1 species
GGUGGAUUUCUGACCAUAGAGCGGCCAAUGGGAGCGGACUGUAAAUCCGUCGCGAAAGCUACAGUGGUUCGAACCCACUAUCUGCCACCA